rnacentral:rRNA from 1 species
UACAGAGGGUGCGAGCGUUAAUCGGAAUUACUGGGCGUAAAGCGUGCGUAGACGGUUAUUUAAGUCGGGUGUGAAAGCCCCGGGCUCAACCUGGGAAUUGCAUUCGAGACUGAAUAGCUAGGGUACGGUAGAGGGAAGUGGAAUUUCCGGUGUAGCGGUGAAAUGCGUAGAUAUCGGAAGGAACAUCAGUGGCGAAGGCACUUUACUGGGCUAUUACUAACACUCAGAGACGAAAGCUAGGGUAGCAAAUGGG